rnacentral:ncRNA from 1 species
AAAUGCGCUACGGGGAACAAUAAAAACAGCGCGGGGGUAGCGUUGCCGGCACGCUUUCGGCGUGCCGGCAGCGGUUGUCUGCAUGCACGACGGGGCCAAUCACCACAACAAGCCACCAUGCAGGCACGUACGCCCAUUCGAUGGGCGUUCCGCCGUCCGGCCGGGGGAAGCAGAUGCGGGCGGCGGCGGACGCAUUUUUUGU